UACGUAGGAUCCGAGCGUUGUCCGGAAUUACUGGGUGUAAAGGGCGUGUAGGUGGGGCUUUUAGUCGGGGGUGAAAUCCUGCGGCUUAACCGCAGAACUGCUUCCGAUACUGGAGCUCUUGAGUACGGCAGAGGGAGAUGGAAUUCAUGGUGUAGCGGUGAAAUGUGUAGAUAUCAUGAAGAACACCGGUUGCGAAGGCGGUCUCCUGGUCCGUUACUGACACUGAGGCGCGAAAGCGUGGGGAGCAAACAGG
rnacentral:rRNA from 1 species